rnacentral:rRNA from 1 species
UACGUAGGGUGCGAGCGUUAAUCGGAAUUACUGGGCGUAAAGCGUGCGCAGGCGGUUUGUAAGCCAGAUGUGAAAUCCCCGGGCUUAACCUGGGAAUGGCAUUUGGGACUGCAAGGCUUGAGUGCGGCAGAGGAGACUGGAAUUCCUGGUGUAGCAGUGAAAUGCGUAGAUAUCAGGAGGAAUACCGAUGGCGAAGGCAGGUCUCUGGGCUGACACUGACGCUCAUGCACGAAAGGCGUGGGAGCAAACAGG